rnacentral:lncRNA from 1 species
UGAAAAGAAAUCAAAUAAACAAAAAAAGGCAAAAGAAAGGAAAAGAUGAAGAUGUUCAACUUAUUUCAGACCUGCUCAGAAAAUCUCAAGCAACCCCUUUAUAUUUCUUUUCAGACAGAAGCAUGGGACGUGGUCUUAUUUACAUGGUUAGCUUCCAAUCCAGAUGUGUUUACUUUCAAGAAAAUUUCAGAUCCCUUGAAGCAAAAGGUUGAGAUCGCUGUCACCACCAGCAGCAUCACAAAUCUGUGUGAGAUGUUUAUGCUCUCUUCUAGUUCAGUUAAUCCCUCGGAAAGUGUGACCAAAUGCUUUUUUUUUUUUUUUUUACUAUGUUUCCAUCUGUUUCCAGAAUGCUUACAUCUUCAGAAGGAAGAAACUCUAGCCAUGACACCAUACCCAAACCUCCACCCUUAUUUGAAGGCUAGCUCAGUAUCUGUCUCUGAGGUUUCUGAUAAGUUACCAUCACCAUAAAAUUCGAUUUUAAACAUUGUUUGCAUGUAGCUCUGUGUUAUAUAACAGACAAUUGAAUUAGUGAGGGUUACAUUUCUAAUUACUUGAAACUUUAUAUAAUACUCCCAGGGAUGGACAUUAGAGAAAUAUGCACCAUGAACUGAACCACAAUAUAAAAAAAAAAAAAGCAUCUGUAGGACACAUUAAUAUCAUGGGAAAGCAAAAGGUCAUCCAUGAUGUGGUAUAAGAAACAGUGGUGAGUAUGGAAAACUUUUUUAAAGGAAUAAUUUCUUUCACACACACACACAUACACACACACACAUGCACAUACACACACAUCCUGGGUUUUUUCAUUCUCUUCCUCAUGAGGCUAGACUUUAGACUUUUGCGUUGCUCCCUUUUUGGUUCAAAGUUCAAUCAGAAUGAGCCUCUUUCCAACCAAUGGUAUUUAAAGGACUCCUCCCAUGAGCUGAGCUUGAUAAUGAGACUAGGACAGAGGAUUCUGAUUUUGGCAAAAAAAGUAAUCAUGAGCCCUUAAUUUAGAGAAACAGGGCUGCUGUAUUCCAGAGUGAUAGUCAAUAGUUUGCAGAACAUGAUAGAGGGAAACAGAAUCUUCCAUAGAAAUCAACUCAUAAAGACAGUCUUCAAAGUCUGCAGUUGGACAAAUUGUAAAACCAAAAAUAAAAUUUAAUAAUGAAAACAAUGACGUAUCACCACAGAACAUUAGAGACUAUAGACUAGCCUAACGAGGAGAUGACCCCCUUAACC